UACGUAGGGUGCGAGCGUUAAUCGGAAUUACUGGGCGUAAAGUGUGCGCAGGCGGCUUCGCAAGUCGAGUGUGAAAUCCCCGAGCUUAACUUGGGAAUUGCGCUCGAAACUACGGAGCUGGAGUGUGGCAGAGGAAGGUGGAAUUCCACGUGUAGCGGUGAAAUGCGUAGAGAUGUGGAGGAACACCGAUGGCGAAGGCAGCCUUCUGGGCCAACACUGACGCUCAUGCACGAAAGCGUGAGGAGCAAACAGG
rnacentral:rRNA from 1 species